AGCCUCUUUACGGUGCUGC
rnacentral:miRNA from 1 species